AUGAACGCUGGCGGCGUGCCUAAUGCAUGCAAGUCGAGCGAACAGACGAGGAGCUUGCUCCUCUGACGUUAGCGGCGGACGGGUGAGUAACACGUGGAUAACCUACCUAUAAGACUGGGAUAACUUCGGGAAACCGGAGCUAAUACCGGAUAACAUGUUGAACCGCAUGGUUCAACAGUGAAAGACGGUCUUGCUGUCACUUAUAGAUGGAUCCGCGCCGCAUUAGCUAGUUGGUAAGGUAACGGCUUACCAAGGCAACGAUGCGUAGCCGACCUGAGAGGGUGAUCGGCCACACUGGAACUGAGACACGGUCCAGACUCCUACGGGAGGCAGCAGUAGGGAAUCUUCCGCAAUGGGCGAAAGCCUGACGGAGCAACGCCGCGUGAGUGAAGAAGGUCUUCGGAUCGUAAAACUCUGUUAUUAGGGAAGAACAAAUGUGUAAGUAACUAUGCACGUCUUGACGGUACCUAAUCAGAAAGCCACGGCUAACUACGUG
rnacentral:rRNA from 1 species